rnacentral:lncRNA from 1 species
GCCAGAAGUUUUCUUCCUCUUGCCCAGAGCAAGUUUUUGUAGUUGAAUAAAACCAACCAACCAACAACCAAACGAAAGUGAAGGAUAGUUUAGGAAGCACUAAAAAACGGGAACACUUGGAUACCUUCUCGUCUAAGCUCAUUGCCGUGUACGUGGCGUUUGCAAUAAAUCUCCUUCGACAAAGUCCUGGCCACCGGAAGCCUUUCAGAGAUCUAGUAACCCGUUACCUUUGGCGAGUAAGGAAGGAGCCAUUGAGGAUGGCUAAGAGCUGAGCUAUGGCGAUGUGAUGUGAGUACCAUUGCACAUGGAUGGCA